rnacentral:lncRNA from 1 species
CCUUAUCUUAUUUUCUUUUCUCAAUUAUUUUCUUACAUUUUCUCUUCAAUUUUCUUUCAUUUUUAAUCUUCCUUUUAUCUCUUAAUUUUUGUUUCAUUUUCUUUAUUUUCUCUCAUAUUUUUUUCUUUCAUUUUCUUCUAUUUUCUUUCAUUUUCUUCCAUUUUUUUCAUUUUCUCUUCCACAUUCUAUCAUUUUCCAUUCCUUUUUCUUUCAUUAUUCAUUCAUUUACUUUCUUUUCUCUCAUAUAUAUACUCUAACUUUUUUUUUCAUUCUUUUCUAUAUCUUCAUUUUCUAUUUAUUUUUCUUUAUUUUUUCUUCAUCUUUCUCUCAUUUUCUUUUCUUUUUUUCUCUUUUUUCUUCCUUUUUUUCUCAUUUUCUUUAAUUUCCCCUUUUUCCUUAUUUUCUCUUCAUUUUUAUCAUUAUUUUCUUCUAUUUUCUCUUUUUUCUUAUUUUUUC